rnacentral:rRNA from 1 species
UGGGGAAUUUUGGACAAUGGGGGCAACCCUGAUCCAGCCAUGCCGCGUGAGUGACGAAGGCCUUAGGGUUGUAAAGCUCUUUUGGCGGGGACGAUAAUGACGGUACCCGCAGAAUAAGCCCCGGCUAACUUCGUGCCAGCAGCCGCGGUAAUACGAAGGGGGCUAGCGUUGUUCGGAAUUACUGGGCGUAAAGCGUGUGCAGGCGGUUGUGUAAGUCAGAUGUGAAAUCCCCGGGCUCAACCUGGGAAUUGCAUUUGAGACUGCACGGCUAGAGUGUGUCAGAGGGGGGUAGAAUUCCACGUGUAGCAGUGAAAUGCGUAGAUAUGUGGAGGAAUACCGAUGGCGAAGGCAGCCCCCUGGGAUAACACUGACGCUCAUGCACGAAAGCGUGGGGAGCAAACAGGAUUAGAUACCCCUGUAGUCCCUGAGCGGGCUGGCAAGGCGCAU